rnacentral:rRNA from 1 species
UAUUCUGGUGUCCUCGGCAUAGAAGAACCACACCAACCCAUACCGAACUUGGUGGUUAACCUCGACUGCGGCGAAGAUACUGUAGGGGAGGCCUUGCGGAAAAAUAGCUCGAUGCCAGGAU